UACGUAGGGCGCAAGCGUUAUCCGGAAUUAUUGGGCGUAAAGAGCUCGUAGGCGGUUUGUCGCGUCGGAUGUGAAAGCCCGGGGCUUAACUCCGGGUCUGCAUUCGAUACGGGCAGGCUAGAGUUCGGUAGGGGAGAUCGGAAUUCCUGGUGUAGCGGUGGAAAUGACGCAGAUAUCAGGAGGAACACCGGUGGCGAAGGCGGAUCUCUGGGCCGAUACUGACGCUGAGGAGCGAAAGCGUGGGGAGCGAACAGG
rnacentral:rRNA from 1 species